AUAAAAGCGAAGACAAGGACAGUAAGUUAGGUAACUUCUUACAGAGAGGAGUCUCUUCGGCUGGAAAGGCUCUAGAAGUUCUGACUGAAAAACACCUUUGAGCUGACUAGUCGAACUUAUUAGUAGACUAGGUCCCCUGUCAGGGUUAUUGACAUAGAGUGAGUCACUUUUCAUAGUGACUAACAGGGGUGGUACCGCGGAUAACUUCCGUCCCCGAC
rnacentral:ncRNA from 1 species